rnacentral:rRNA from 1 species
AGAUUGAACGCUGGCGGCGUGCCUAACACAUGCAAGUCGAGCGGCAGCGCGGUAGCAAUACUGGCGGCGAGCGGCGAACGGGUGAGUAAUACUUUGGAAUCUUCCCAGUAGUGGGGAAUAACCAGUCGAAAGAUUGGCUAAUACCGCAUACGUCUGAAAAGGGAAAGCGGGGGCUCGUAAGACCUCGCGCUAUUGGAUGAGCCAAAGUCGGAUUAGCUAGUUGGCGGGGUAAUGGCCCACCAAGACGAUGAUCUGUA